AGCAGCCGCGGUAAUUCCAGCUCCAAUAGCGUAUAUUAAAGUUGUUGCAGUUAAAAAGCUCGUAGUUGAAUUUCGGGAUCAAUACGUCGGUCGUGCUUUCGGGUACGUACUGGCGUCAUUGGUUUCUCCUUUCUGACGAACCAUGAUGUCAUUAAUUUGGUGUUAUGGGGAGUUAGGACUGUUACUUUGAAAAAAUUAGAGUGUUUAAAGCAGGCAUUAGCUUGAAUACAUUAGCAUGGAAUAAUGAAAUAGGACGUUCGAUCCUAUUUUGUUGGUUUCUAGGAUCAACGUAAUGAUUAAUAGGGAUAGUUGGGGGCAUUAGUAUUCAAUUGUCAGAGGUGAAAUUCUUGGAUUUAUUGAAGACUAACUACUGCGAAAGCAUUUGCCAAGGAUGUUUUCAUUAAUCAAGAACGAAAGUUAGGGGAUCGAAGACGAUCAGAUACCGUCGUAGUCUUAACCAUAAACUAUGCCGACUAGGGAUCGGAUGAUGUUAAUUUUUUAAUGACUCA
rnacentral:rRNA from 2 species